CUUCUGAAGUUGGAGACUUUACUUGAUGAUAGCGUGGGGCAAAAUGUCGAGUUGGAAUUUGAAAGGAGUGGCACGUCUUUGACCGUUCAGUUGGUGGCUGAAGACUUACACUCAAUAACUCUUUCGGAGUUAGGAGUGGCACGUCUUUGUGAUGUACAUUUUAGAUCAAACUUGAUCAGAUAUUAAUGCGGAGCCGCCAAUGAAGGCGGAUGACCAUACAUGACAGAACUAUA